AAAAUCUAUCAGUGUUUUUUCCUCCUUUUUUUUCUUUUAUAUAUUGAACAAGUUUUAGGAAAUGCUGUUUUACUUACUAGCAAUAAUAACCCUACACACCAUCAACACGGACAUACAGGAAGCAAGCCAAAAGUUGAUGUACAUAGUUUAAUUAAAGAUCUUAUAGCAAAGGAAGAUGAAGUGGCUGAUUUAGAGAAAUCAAAUUUAAAAUGUAAAAUUAUUGCUACGGUUUUGGGAAUACUAGCUACUAUUGCAUCAGUCGUUGCUGGUGUUCUGGCAUAUAAAUGUGCCUUUAAAAAAGGAGAGAGACAAUAUAAAAGCGGUUUUGAUGGUACUAAUGAUGAUGGUGGUAGUGGUGAUGGUGUUGGAGGUGGUAGUGGUGAUGGCAGUGGUAGCAGUGGUAGUGGUGGAGAUAACAUAACUCCACUAUUGUCAGAUAAAUGAUGUAAAAUAUGUGCUGAUACAAAGAUAAACACGUAAGGUUUAUGUAUAUAUGGGCUUUGGUAUAUGUAUAGUGAUUAACAUAAACACACGUACAAUACAUAGUUAAUCAUAAAAUUUUCUUUAUAUUUUUGGUAUAAUUUGGUAUAUAUAUGUAAUUUUCAUUUUCUCAUUUAUUUUACUAAGAUCUUAUUUUUUUAAUUUUUAUUUUUAUAGUGAUAGGAAUAAUUUAGGAAAUAGGACCUUUAAUUUAUAUAACUUGGCUACCUACAAAGUAUAUUUUAUAUUAAUUGUUAGGUUUUCAAACACGCCAGUAUAUAUUUUUUUAUUAUUAAUAUAAAGAAAUGUUGCAUGUACAUAUAUAUAAGCACUUAUUUUGUAAAAGUUACUGCUUCUUUUAAGAUAAUAAUGUGUUUUUUUUUUUUUUUUUAUAAUAAUUUUUUUUUUUUUUUUAUAUUGUACUAAUGAAAUGUAUUUGGUUGUAGUGAUUUUAACGGUAUAUAUACAUAUAUUCAUUUAUUUAUUGUUAUUUUUUUUUUUUCUAUAUUUAUUUUUACUUAUCUAGUAAUUUUUUUUAAUUUUAAUUAAUUUUUAUAUUGAUUUUUUUAUAUACUACUAUUAUUAUUAUUACUAUUAUUAUUUUAUUUGAUAUUUCUUUUAAUUUUAAUUUUUGGCAUAUUUUACUAUUUAAAAGGAUUUUUAUUUUAUAUAAAACUGUUUGAUGGGUAGUGUUUCUCUUCUUUUAUUAAUUUUUAUUUAUUAAGAAUUAUAUUAAAUGAUAUGUAAAAAAAAAUAAAAAAAAUAAAAUUCAGUUUUUUUUCUUCUUU
rnacentral:lncRNA from 1 species